rnacentral:rRNA from 1 species
CCUACGGGAGGCAGCAGUGGGGAAUAUUGGGCAAUGGGCGCAACCCUGAUCCAGCAACGCCGCGUGAAUGAAGAAGGCUUUCGGGAUGUAAAGCUCUGUCGUCAGGGAAGAGUAGAAGACGGUACCUGACCAAUAAGCCACGGCUAACUACCUUCCAGCAGCCGCCGUAAUACGUAGGUGGCAAGCGUUGUCCGGAUUUACUGGGUGUAAAGGGCGUGUAGCCGGGUUGACAAGUCAGAUGUGAAAUCCUGCGGCUUAACCGCAGAACUGCCUUUGAAACUAUUGAUCUUGAGUACUGGAGAGGCAGAUGGAAUUCCUAGUGUAGCGGUGAAAUGCGUAGAGAUUAGGAGGAACACCAGUGGCGAAGGCGGUCUACUGGACUGCAACUGACGGUGAGGCGCGAAAGCGUGGGGAGCAAACAGGAUUAGAUACCCGGGUAGUC